rnacentral:rRNA from 3 species
GUCGAGCGGAACGAUACCAGCUUGCUGGUAGGCGUCGAGCGGCGGACGGGUGAGUAACACUUAGGAAUCUACCUAGUAGUGGGGGAUAGCUCGGGGAAACUCGAAUUAAUACCGCAUACGACCUACGGGAGAAAGGGGGCAACUUGUUGCUCUCGCUAUUAGAUGAGCCUAAGUCGGAUUAGCUAGUUGGUGGGGUAAAGGCCUACCAAGGCGACGAUCUGUAGCUGGUCUGAGAGGAUGAUCAGCCACACCGGGACUGAGACACGGCCCGGACUCCUACGGGAGGCAGCAGUGGGGAAUAUUGGACAAUGGGGGCAACCCUGAUCCAGCCAUGCCGCGUGUGUGAAGAAGGCCUUUUGGUUGUAAAGCACUUUAAGCAGUGAAGAAGACCUAAUGGUUAAUACCCAUUAGCGAUGACAUUAGCUGCAGAAUAAGCACCGGCUAACUCUGUGCCAGCAGCCGCGGUAAUACAGAGGGUGCAAGCGUUAAUCGGAAUUACUGGGCGUAAAGCGAGCGUAGGUGGCUUGAUAAGUCAGAUGUGAAAUCCCCGGGCUUAACCUGGGAACUGCAUCUGAUACUGUUAGGCUAGAAUAGGUGAGAGGAA